rnacentral:ncRNA from 1 species
UCCCCGAUUGAUUCUGUCGGCGGUUAUAUGCUUGUCUCAAAGGCUAAGCCAUGCAUGUCUAAGUUCAAAUAAACCUAUAAUGGUGAAACCGCGAACGGCUCAUUAUAACAGCUAUAAUGUACUUGAUGUUGAUUAUCCAACGUGGAUAACUGUGGCAAUUCUAGAGCUAAUACAUGCACCAAAGCUCCGAAUUUUAAACGAGCGCAUCUAUUAGAUUAAAACCAAUCGGAUUAUUAAUUUUAAUCCGUUAAUUGGUGACUCUGAAUAGCUAUGGCUGAUCGCAUGGUCUU